UUUAAAGUUGGAACGUGAGGAAUUAUUAGAAAAUGAAUAGAAAAUCGAAACAGAAAAAAAACUGCAAUGUUUAUAUACAUUAUACGGUAGCAGAUUACAAAGUGGGGAAAUCUGAAAAUAUCUGGGAAUUUGUAUUUAUUAUUUUAAGCCCUAAACCCCUGAUUACGUCAUGAAAACAAGUGAAAAAAGAGUACUGCAUGCAGCUUUAUUAUGGAGCAUGUGAGUUGUGCAAAUAAAACAUAAAGGUAGACCUUCAGAACAUUGGGCAGGAACAGCAAAGAGUUACCCUGGAGAAAUGGACAAUUUCCUGAACCUGAACCCUCCAGUCUCUGUCAUUCACUUCUGUGUUGCUGAUGGGGUUCGCAGGCAUGCUAAAUGACAAAGUGGUGUGAAAAAAUAUAAUGUAUCCAACCUGUGAUUGACCAU